rnacentral:rRNA from 1 species
UACGUAGGGUGCGAGCGUUGUCCGGAAUUACUGGGCGUAAAGGGCUCGUAGGCGGCCAGCUAAGUCAGACGUGAAAUCCCUCGGCUUAACCGGGGAACUGCGUCUGAUACUGGUUGGCUUGAAUCCGGGAGAGGGAUGUGGAAUUCCAGGUGUAGCGGUGUAAUGCGUAGAUAUCAGGAAGAACACCCGUGGCGAAGGCGGCUCUCUGGGACGGUACUGACGCUGAGACGCGAAAGCGUGGGGAGCGAACAGG